rnacentral:rRNA from 1 species
AUUUCAACGGAGAGUUUGAUCCUGGCUCAGGACGAACGCUGGCGGCGUGCUUAACACAUGCAAGUCGAGCGGUAAGGCUCCUUCGGGAGUACACGAGCGGCGAACGGGUGAGUAACACGUGAGCAAUCUGCCCUUCACAUCGGGAUAACUUCGGGAAACCGGAGCUAAUACCGGAUACGACCACAGACGGCAUCGUCAGUGGUGGAAAGUUCCGGCGGUGAAGGAUGAGCUCGCGGCCUAUCAGCUAGUUGGUGAGGUAACGGCUCACCAAGGCUUCGACGGGUAGCCGGCCUGAGAGGGUGACCGGCCACACUGGGACUGAGACACGGCCCAGACUCCUACGGGAGGCAGCAGUGGGGAAUAUUGGACAAUGGGCGAAAGCCUGAUC